AUUGAACGCUGGCGGCAGGCCUAACACAUGCAAGUCGAGCGGAUGAAGGGAGCUUGCUCCUGGCUUCAGCGGCGGACGGGUGAGUAAUGCCUAGGAAUCUGCCUGGUAGUGGGGGAUAACGUCCGGAAACGGGCGCUAAUACCGCCUACGUCCUGAGGGAGAAAGUGGGGGAUCUUCGGACCUCACGCUAUCAGAUGAGCCUAGGUCGGAUUAGCUAGUUGGUGGGGUAAAGGCCUACCAAGGCGACGAUCCGUAACUGGUCUGAGAGGAUGAUCAGUCACACUGGAACUGAGACACGGUCCAGACUCCUACGGGAGGCAGCAGUGGGGAAUAUUGGACAAUGGGCGAAAGCCUGAUCCAGCCAUGCCGCGUGUGUGAAGAAGGUCUUCGGAUUGUAAAGCACUUUAAGUUGGGAGGAAGGGCAGUAAGUUAAUACCUUGCUGUUUUGACGGUACCAACAGAAUAAGCACCGGCUAACUUCGUG
rnacentral:rRNA from 1 species